GAUGAACGCUGGCGGCGUGCCUAAUACAUGCAAGUCGAGCGAACGGACGAGAAGCUUGCUUCUCUGAUGUUAGCGGCGGACGGGUGAGUAACACGUGGAUAACCUACCUAUAAGACUGGGAUAACUUCGGGAAACCGGAGCUAAUACCGGAUGAUAUUUUGAACCGCAUGGUUCAAAAGUGAAAGACGGUCUUGCUGUCACUUAUAGAUGGAUCCGCGCUGCAUUAGCUAGUUGGUAAGGUAACGGCUUACCAAGGCAACGAUGCAUAGCCGACCUGAGAGGGAGAUCGGCCACACUGGAACUGAGACACGGUCCCGACUCCUACGGGAGGCAGCAGUAGGGACUCUUACGCAAUGGGCGAAAGCCUGACGGAGCAACGCCGCGUGAGUGAUGAAGGUCUUCGGAUCGUAAAACUCUGUUAUUAGGGAAGAACAUAUGUGUAAGUAACUGUGCACAUCUUGACGGUACCUAAUCAGAAAGCCACGGCUAACUCCGUG
rnacentral:rRNA from 1 species